GGUUGGCUCAGAAGCAGCCAUCCUUUAAAGAGUGCGUAACAGCUCACUAGUCGAGUGACCCUGCGCCGAAAAUGUACCGGGGCUAAGCCUGAUACCGAAACUGCGGAUUGUAGGAAACUAUAGUGGUAGGGGAGCGUUGUAUACGAGCAGAAGCCGUACCGUGAGGAGCGGUGGAUUGUAUAGAAGUGAGAAUGCCGGUGUGAGUAGCGAGAUGUAGGUGAGAAUCCUACACACCGAAAGCCCAAGGAUUCCAGGGGAAGGUUCGUCCGCCCUGGGUAAGUCGGGACCUAACGCGAGGCCGAAAGGCGUAGUGGAUGGAAAGCAGGCGAAAGAUUCCUGCACCCGUAUAUGGAGCGAAGGAGUGACGGAGACGGAUAGUGUGACCCUCUUAAUGGAUUGAGGGCGAAGCGAAGCGGCUGGUUACCAGGCAAAUCCGGUAACCAAAAGGCUAGAGCGUGACAGGUAAGCGAAAUCUUAGGAAAGUAGCGAAGCACAUGAUGACGGCUUCCAGGAAAAGCUUCUGGCAAUGCAUAUGCGGCCCGUACCAAAACCGACACAGGUGGGCAGGGAGAGAAUCCCGAGGUGAGCGAGAGAACUGUUGCCAAGGAACUCGGCAAAAUGACUCCGUAAGUUAGCGAGAAGGAGUGCUUAAGCAAUUAAGCCGCAGUGAAGAGGCCCAAGCGACUGUUUAACUAAAACACAGCUCUCUGCGAAGUCGCAAGACGAAGUAUAGGGGGUGACACCUGCCCGGUGCUGGAAGGUUAAGAGGAUCUGUUAAGAGCGAUCUGAAGCAGUGAUCCGAAGCCCCAGUGAACGGCGGCCGUAACUAUAACGGUCCUAAGGUAGCGAAAUUCCUUGUCAGGUAAGUUCUGACCCGCACGAAAGGUGUAACGAUUUGGGCGCUGUCUCGGCAGCAGACUCGGUGAAAUCUUAGUACCUGUGAAAAUGCAGGUUACCCGCAACUAGACGGAAAGACCCCAUGGAGCUUUACUGCAGCCUGAUAUUGAAUUCUGGUCAUACAUGUACAGGAUAGGUGGGAGACAAAGAGACGUGCACGCCAGUGUACGAGGAGUCGACGUUGGGAUACCACUCUUGUGUGACCGGGGUUCUAACCUGGUAUCGAGAACAGGUACGGGGAGAGUGUCAGGUGGGCAGUUUGACUGGGGCGGUCGCCUCCCAAAGAGUAACGGAGG
rnacentral:rRNA from 1 species